rnacentral:rRNA from 1 species
AGUGAACGCUGGCGGUAGGCCUAACACAUGCAAGUCGAACGGCAGCACAGUAAGAGCUUGCCCUUACGGGUGGCGAGUGGCGGACGGGUGAGGAAUACAUCGGAUUCUACUUUUUCUUGGGGGAUAUCGUAGGGCAACUUACGCUAAUACCGCAUACGACCUACGGGUGAAAUCAGGGGAUCUUGGCGCCUUGCCCGUUUCAUUGAGCUGAUUUCGGACUGCAUAAUUUGGGGGGUAAAGGCCCACCAAGCCGAGGCACCGUAGCGGGUCUGAGAGGAUGGGCAGCCACACUGGAAAUGAGACACGGUCCAGACUCCUAUGCGAGGCAGCAGUGUGGAAUAUUGGACAAUGGGCGCAAGCCUGAGACAGCCAUACCGCGUGUGUGAAGAAGGCCUUCGGGUUGUAAAGCCCUUUUGUUGGGAAAGAAAAGCAGCAGGUUAAUACCCCGCUGUUCUGACGGUACCCAAAGAAUAAGCACCGGCUAACUUCGUG